CGCAAGCCUGACGGAGCAAGACCGCGUGGGGGAGGAAAGCCUUUGGGUUGUAAACCCCUUUUCUCAGGGAAGAAGAAAGUGACGGUACCUGAGGAAUCAGCCUCGGCUAACUCCGUGCCAGCAGCCGCGGUAAUACGGAGGAGGCAAGCGUUAUCCGGAAUGAUUGGGCGUAAAGCGUUCGUAGGUGGCAAUUCAAGUCUGCUGUUAAAGGCCGAGGCUUAACUUCGGUUGAGCAGUGGAAACUGAUUAGCUAGAGUGCGAUAGGGGUAGAGGGAAUUCCCAGUGUAGCGGUGAAAUGCGUAGAGAUCGGGAAGAACACCGGUGGCGAAAGCGCUCUGCUGGGCCGCAACUGACACUGAGGGACGAAAGCUAGGGGAGCG
rnacentral:rRNA from 1 species